rnacentral:lncRNA from 1 species
GCUGGCAUCUGGCGUUUCACACCCCAUGUGCUCCAGGGAACAGAGAUGCUGAGUGUGCACUACAAAACCCUCCCCAGGCAGUGUCCUGAGGUGCCGCGGAGAAGCAGGAGGCAGGUUACAUCCCUGAACAAGACAGAGGGCAGGGCAAAUGCCGUGCUGGGGAUCUCCUAGCUGGAGAUCUCGACCAGCUGGGCCCCCAGCGCCGCAGGUCCCCAUAUUUCUCACUGUCUGCUUCCUCUGCCCCAACUCAGGGAUCCUCAUCUUAGGGAAGGAAGGGGAAGGUGGGGCUCAGAGGUCACGGUCUGCUAGGAGGCUGCACGGUCUCUCUUCCCUGGACUAGUCAGGUUGGCUGUUAAAAUGGGCUGCGGGGAGGCUCUUGGGAGACAGCGCAUGAGCGGUCCGCGAGCCCAGCCCAGCUCUGGCGGGAAUUCUGGAGACUCCGAGCCAGGUCCUUGGUGUCCUGGCCUUCGGCUGUUCCUUCUUGGACUGGGAGGUGGAGCGGACGGGGUUUGGCCCAGGUUAGGAAACCUGGCGCCCUUGCGGCGCCCGGGACCCCAGGGGCUGCUUAGGCCAGAGCGAAACGAGGGGUCCCCCCGCGCCCACGCAGGACCCACGUCCAUCCCUCCCGCUCAGACGGGAGGACGCGGUGUGCCGGGGUUGGCGGUGGUGUACUGGCUGCGCCGCCGCCCAGCCUAGUGCCCUCGCCUCCAGGGGGCCGGCAUGGCCCUGUCCUUCGGGGCAGGACCCUGCGCUCCCGUCCCCCUAGUGGUGGCCGGGGACCCCCGACGCCGAGCAGCGCCGUAUCUGGGGAGGGCCGCCUGGUACGCAGGGAAAAGGCGCUCAGGGCUGCGCGCGCCGGAGUGCAAACCUCCGAAAGUAGAGCCACAGAGCAGGGGAGACCGGCGAGGGACCGCGGCCGAGGGCGACAAGGGCGCCUCUCCAUCCCCAGCGUCCCCUGACUUGCCCUUGGAGCCCCAAGCUCUCAGGAGCCGUUUUCUACUCGUGGGUGCAGGACUUAGUCCCAGAAAAGUUCCGGACACACCCGGUGUUGCCGCCGCCCGGAGACGAAAAGACAAUACCCGCGCAAGCGCGGCCGACUCCCUCAGCUCCUGCGCCGCCACGCUGCAAACGGUGGCGUCCACGGUACGACGGG